rnacentral:snRNA from 1 species
GGAUGUGAGGGCAAUCUGGCCACAACAUCUGUCACCCCCAUUGAUUGCCAGGGUUGAUUCGGCUGAUCUGGCUGGCUAGGCAGGUGUCCCCUUCCUCCCUCAGCACUGCAUGUGCGUCCCUCCUGAAGCUGCACACGCAAUAGAAGACGAUGACCUUCCCCAACAGAGAAGGCCUGUUCUUCAUUCAAGGGCAUAUGAGUAGCUGCACUCCCCUGCUAGAAUCUCCAAACAAGCUCUCAAAUACAAAAUAUUACAUAAAAUCCAAAAAAUGCUAAUUAUCCUGCUAAAAUAGUCUGUUACUAUUGCCUUUUUUU